UUCUCCAACUAUGUGUGAGGUUCUGCCCGCCCUGAGCUCUCAGGCGGGGCUCCCUGGGAGGCAGCUGGGGCACCACCCCAGGUGGGCUCCGAUGGUCUCACUCCUCCCUUUGAUCCCUUUGUUGUCUUCUUUCUUAAAGGAUCAGAGACAAGAGUGAUCACCUGUUAGCAAAACUCUUCACUUUGCAUGUCAAUCCACCGCACAUGCAUUCCAUGGCAGGCCUGUUUCACACCAGCAUGACAAAGCUGGAGAGACUCACCCCACGAGGAAGGGGCGCCCCAGCUUCUGGGCCACCGUUAGGCAACAGCAAUUGUGUUUCCGUUAUUAGCCAGCACAGGAGAGCCGAAGC